rnacentral:rRNA from 1 species
AGAAUCAACGCUGGCGGCGUGCCUAACACAUGCAAGUCGAACGAGAAAGUGGAGCAAUCCAUGAGUAAAGUGGCGACCGGGUGAGUAACACGUGACUAACCUACCCUCGAGUGGGGAAUAACUCCGGGAAACCGGGGCUAAUACCGCAUAACAUCUUCGGAACGCGAGUUCUGUUGAUCAAAGGAGCAAUUCGCUUGAGGAGGGAGUCGCGGCUGAUUAGCUAGUUGGCGGGGUAAUGGCCCACCAAGGCUUAGAUCGGUAGCCGGCCUGAGAGGGCGCACGGCCACACUGGAACUGAAACACGGUCCAGACUCCUACGGGAGGCAGCAGUGGGGAAUUUUGCGCAAUGGGGGAAACCCUGACGCAGCAACGCCGCGUGGAGGAUGAAGUCCCUUGGGAUGUAAACUCCUUUCGACCGGGAAGAUACUGACGGUACCGGUGGAAGAAGCACCGGCUAACUCUGCGCCAGCAGCCGC